ACUUCGAAGAAUGUAUUAUUUCUGCUAAGUAAUACACAUCUUUCUUGUCUUUGGACCUGAAGCUGCAUCCCUAAAAUUUGCAGGGUCUUGAUGCAAUGCCGAAGGCUGCAUCGGUACAAACAAUACUCUCACAGACUCUAGAGGAUCGUAGGCAGAGAAGAAUCUAGCAUGCGUAGGCAACUUGUCGUGAGAACCUUAUCAUGUUCAAGGUUUCUCUCGCCUUUUGCAUCAUGUGUCGCCGUUUCUACAAUCAACUGUAGUAGCACCCUCUUUAGAACAAGCGUUUUUUUUCCACGGAACCGCCGUCAGACAGAGAGAAAGUUGCUAGAGAGCAUCGUGCUUCGGAACCCAGUGGUGGUGCUGAAGCUAAACAGGCCACUAGCAUCGCUGCCUCAUCAGCACUACCAGCAUGAUCAUCGGCUUUUGUGUCAACUCAUGCCAAGUUGCUAACCCCGAAUGUUAGAAUCGGUCUCGAUCUCCUACUGAUUGAAACGUGUAUUUCAUGGGAAGAGGCCACAACUGUUGCCUCCGAAGCAUAGAAGAGACAAAGGAUUUGCGAAGCUGGGUUUUAAUGGCAUCAUCGAGUCGCCUCAGAUUUGGGUGUUUCAUGGGGAGUGCAUAAUAGUAGUCUUGUUCGCAUUCUGAACUGUGAAUACAGAUGUCAUCUCCUGAGUUUUGCACGUGUAUUGCUGCAAGACGAUAAAAAUUCCACGAGGACUAAACGAAUUGCGUUUUCCAA